UCCCUGGUGGUCCAGUGGCUAAGACUCCACACUCCCAAUGCAGGGGGCCCGGGUUCGAUUCCUGGCCAGGGAA
rnacentral:tRNA from 1 species